AGUGAACGCUGGCGGUAGGCCUAACACAUGCAAGUCGAACGGCAGCACAGUAAGAGCUUGCUCUUACGGGUGGCGAGUGGCGGACGGGUGAGGAAUACAUCGGACUCUACUUUUUCGUGGGGGAUAACGUAGGGAAACUUACGCUAAUACCGCAUACGACCUACGGGUGAAAGCAGGGGAUCUUCGGACCUUGCGCGAUUGAAUGAGCCGAUGUCGGAUUAGCUAGUUGGCGGGGUAAAGGCCCACCAAGGCGGCGAUCCGUAGCUGGACUGAGAGGAUGAUCGGCCACACUGGAACGUAGACACGGUCCAGACUCCUACGAGAGGCAGCAGUGGGGAAUAUUAGACAAUAGGCGCAAGCCUGAUCCAGCCAUACCGCGUGGGUGAAGAAGGCCUUCGGGUUGUAAAGCCCUUUUGUUGGGAAAGAAAAGCAGCAGGUUAAUACCCCGCUGUUCUGACGGUACCCAAAGAAGAAGCACCGGCUAACUUCGUG
rnacentral:rRNA from 1 species